GGUCAGAGGGUCUCUCCGACCCAAAGAAUCUGUCACUAAAUUAUUCUAGGAGGUGACCCGGAGGAUUACUCGAGAAGACUGCGCAGUAGGGCAAGUAGAAUAUAAUAAUCUGAGAAAGUAGAUUUUGUGUGAGAAGAAUAAGAACUUGUAGAAAACCGCCCUUAGAAGGUAAAGGGGUCUGAAUGAACAAGGCAUCCUGUGGCUACUGCCCUUAAGAAGAAUAAGGGGUCUGAACAGGCAGGAUAAGAAUGAGCCCUUGUGGAUACCACCCUAAGAGGAGAAAGGGAUCCGAAUGGAAGGGAAAGGGCUGAGGCAGAAGAGGAAGAAGAGGCAGUAUUGAAUUCAGCAGUGAGAGUUAAACGAAGCAGAGCACCAGAGAGAAAAAAACAACAGACAAGAUUAAGAAGAGAAAAGAGCAUGAGGAUCGAGGGUGUUCAAGAUCUUUAAAUCCCAGCCAACUUUUUACGUGAUAAAUCUUGUUGAGCCUCAUGUGUUUUAAAAUGUAGUGUGUGUCUCUUUAAGAAACUGCAAUUGUAUGGGGGCGGAGCCAUGCACAGCUAUCUUCUGCUCCUUUGUUCUUUGCAAAUGUGUUAGUAAUCUAUGAAAAUUAACUGUGCAUUCUUUAUUUUCUCUUAACCUUCAACAGAGGAGAGGUGAAAAAUAUGCAAACAUUAUUUGGCAAGCCAGCUGGGAUUUCACUGGGACCAUCAACCAACGACUAAUUUCUCCUAGUAAGAGCCACUGCAAAGCAGCUUUCAUUGCUCCAGGAAAAGGGCGAAUUUGUUCUCCUAGAGGAGCAGACCCUGCUGAUAGAACACGACGAUGACAUGCAAAACACAUCAGAGGAAUAUUGGACAAAAGUCUAUAAGGAUAGCUGGGUCUUUUUUCCCGCCCCAGCAUAAUGGGGGUGGGGUUUUGGCCCAGUUACCCAGGAUUCCAGAGAAAGAACGCUGUGAGGCUGAACAUUACAAAUAUGAGGACCAUGCUUUUAGGGGCUAGUUGUAAUUUGAUUCAACGCCGAUAUGUGCAGCUUGUGGUUUUAUUUUUCUGUGAGACCUGUUGGGUCUCAAAGGGGGGAAUUGUAUAGAAGUGUAGUAUCUUUAUAUUUUAUAUUCUUUCUUGGUGUUUGUAAUACUUGAGAUAUUUAACUUUUAUACUUUGUAUUUUAAAUCUUUGGAAACUUUGCAUGUUUGUGCUCUAUGAGAAGGCCUUUAUCCCUUGUAUUCUGGUUUGAUUGUUUUUGUAAGAGAUAAUGGAGGCCCAAAAUUCUCUUGAGGCCAUUCACGUAAAUCAGUGGUGACAGUUAUAUGACCUUUGUAACUCUGUAUCAAGCCCUAGCUAAGAGAAAUAAGGGACCCAAGAAAGGGGGAAGACUUGUGGUUUAAAUAAGGGUGGAUUGUCCGGAAUGGAAAAUAACUGGGAAGGAGGAGAAAAGUAAAUGCAAGUGAUUAGUUAUCGAUAAGCGAAUGUCUGCAAGUGAUUGGGUAUGGAAAUGCACCGGGGGUGGGACAUACAGAGUUAAACAUGCCAUAAAAAGGGGCAGCUCUUGGUUUGGAGUGAACUCCCAAGUGAUUUACUCUCGAUUUGCAAAUAAAGGUUUGAACUUCUUGAAGAAUUCUCCGCGUCGCCCGAGUUAAUUUUGAGUAUCAGUAACCAUGACAAAGGGAGAUCCGAGAGACUUUCAGAAAAUUGACACCGAAUGCCCCCAGGUCUCCAGCACUGACAAAAACUAAACAUGAUUACGAGCGGAUUGAGCUGUCAAAUACAUAAAGCCACAAGUCAUAACUCUACUUAAAGACAACUACUAUUAUUGGUUUGCUGCUGUCUGAUCAUAAUAUGAACAGAAACUAGAUGCUUCAUAAAUGUAUUAGUGCUUCCCAUACAUCACUAUAAAUGUGUGUGGUUUGAAUAAAACAUCUUCCACGUGGCAGAUUGUCUAAAGCAUUUGCACAGUCAAUCUGAUCCUCAGAGACAGAGGUUGUGCAGCACUGGUUGAGAAUAUCCAUGACUGUUAUCAUGACCUCUGAAAUAAUUGACAAAUAGCAUAAAUUCAGAUGAAGAAGAGACUCAUCGUUGGCCUUUGUCCACUCAUCUGCUAAUUAAAACCCCCCUCACCUGUAUUCACCUAUCGCCAGAGAUAGACACAAAAUGCAGAUGUAACUCAAAGGGUCAGGCAGCAACUCUGGAGAAAAUGAAUAGGUGACAUUUUGGGCCAAAACCCUUCUUCAAACCAGAAACAUCACCUAUUCCUUUUCUCCAGAGUUGCUGGCUGACCCACUGAGUCACAGCAGCAUUUUGUGUCUAUCUUUGGUUUAAAAACAGCAUCUGCAGUUCCUCGUGCUCCC